AACGAACGCUGGCGGCAUGCCUAACACAUGCAAGUCGAACGAGAUCCUUCGGGGUCUAGUGGCGCACGGGUGCGUAACGCGUGGGAAUCUGCCCUUAGGUUCGGAAUAACAGUUAGAAAUGACUGCUAAUACCGGAUGAUGACGUUAAGUCCAAAGAUUUAUCGCCUGAGGAUGAGCCCGCGUAGGAUUAGCUAGUUGGUGUGGUAAAGGCGCACCAAGGCGACGAUCCUUAGCUGGUCUGAGAGGAUGAUCAGCCACACUGGGACUGAGACACGGCCCAGACUCCUACGGGAGGCAGCAGUGGGGAAUAUUGGACAAUGGGCGCAAGCCUGAUCCAGCAAGGCCGCGUGAGUGAUGAAGGCCUUAGGGUUGUAAAGCUCUUUUACCCGGGAUGAUAAUGACAGUACCGGGAGAAUAAGCCCCGGCGAACUCCGU
rnacentral:rRNA from 1 species